UCCACCAGCACUGUUUCCUUAGAGAAGGGAAAUUCUUUAAACCAGGCUGGCAUUGGAGCCAAGUGCAGAAGCAGACCAGAGGAUCCUAAUAGGAAGUGAUGUGUAAAGGAGUUAGAAAUCCAAACGCAUUCCGGUGGCUGCUGCUGCUGCACUGGCUUCUCCUGCUGGUGAACAGCCGGCACUUGCUCUCUUCAAAGCUAAGUUGCCAACAGCAGGUCGAAGCGCCGAGCCUCUGUACAAGACUUACAAAUUUGGGAUCCUCAGCAUGAUGUCAUGUCUUAAAAUGAUAAGCUGAGCCAAGGAGGGAAACGGCAUUUUGCAAAGAACGUGCGCCCAUUCUCAUGUUUACGCUACUUAAGAUGAAGGUUCUAAUAAGUCAUGGGCUAUGUUGCUUUAAAGGGAAGUUUUAUAACUGAGAUGAAUCACAACUGCCGGAGAUCAAAGUUGAAAAACAUCAAUGAUGCCAUAGGGUACUUUUUAAUCUUGUAAUGAGUGAUGAUCACGUGCUCUUAUGAAGUGAGUCCAACUGCCAACGCCAGAUGUGUAUAUUAGAAAGGGAGUUGUUUGUGAUGCGACAGGCCUGGCUCAGCUGCCAGAGACAGAAAACACGGAAGGAUGAACCCUUUCAGUUUUGACUGAAAAGCAAGUCUUGGCAGAUGUGUUGUUGAUAAGUAGGGCCCCAGAGUGGGUUUUGGGUACCACACAGCACCCUGCCUGGGAAUUUGUAGCCCACAAAAGUGUCUCUCAUCAGCUCUGCACAGCUCUCCCCAGGCAGUGGGAUAUAAAUAUGUGCUCAAAGCACACGG
rnacentral:lncRNA from 1 species